UGAUACAUGUUAAGGGCAUAUGUGGACGGC
rnacentral:piRNA from 1 species